rnacentral:rRNA from 1 species
AUUGAACGCUGGCGGCAGGCUUAACACAUGCAAGUCGAGCGAGCGGCGGACGGGUGAGUAAUGUCUGGGAAACUGCCUGAUGGAGGGGGAUAACUACUGGAAACGGUGGCUAAUACCGCAUACCAUCGGAUGUGCCCAGAGGGGAUUAGCUAGUAGGUGGGGUAAUGGCUCACCUAGGCGACGAUCCCUAGCUGGUCUGAGAGGAUGAUCAGCCACACUGGAACUGAGACACGGUCCAGACUCCGACGGGAGGCAGCAGUGGGGAAUAUUGCACAAUGGGCGCAAGCCUGAUGCAGCCAUGCCGCGUGUGUGAAGAAGGCCUUAGGGUUGUAAAGCACUUUCAGCGAGGAGGCGUUACUCGCAGAAGAAGCACCGGCUAACUCCGUGCCAGCAGCCGCGGUAAUUC